GAUUUUCCUAGAAAACAGAUCUGACAUUGAAGCUUAAAGCUGAGAUUUUGUUAGUGAAGAUUUUGUUAUACUGAAGGAACUAAAAGGGGAGGUGAAGCAAGUCGAACCCCAGACACGUAACAGAAGUCGUGGGCUGCCACCCUCUGUGAGAAUGUUGUUGAUGUUUUUAUCAAGACCCUGGUGUUUCUCAAGCGAAUUAUAUUGAACCAUAAGGAUAAGCCAGAGCAGGAGUGCUGGACAUUGACGCCACCGGAUGUUCCAGGGUUGAGAUAACUGGGAGGCUGACAACAAUUUCUGGGGGCUGAAGGUGAUGAACACCAGAAACAUCCACUGUGAUGGGCUGUUCUGAUGGGCUGUUUGCUUAUGAUUCGCUGUAGGAAUAAAACUUACUGUUGGAAUAACUGGUUGUUUUUGAUCAAGGUCAACCUGAAGGGGAUAUACCUUCCAUCAUCUUCUGACCGCUCCUGCUUGCACCUCAGGAAAAAGACUUAAGAUGAGGAGACCAGCAGGCUCUCCUCCAGUCAACCGAAGUUCAAACCUACAAAGGAAUGCACAGGGAUUUGAAAACCUAUGAUAUGUGUUGACUUAGGAAACACAGAACAAUUAAGAACAACGAAAAAUCAGGAGAUUUAAGAAUUUCUCUUUAGGGCACUGCCAGUGUUAAAAGAAAAAAAAAAAGAACUGGAAACAGCGCCAGUUACAUGAUGUGUGGGAGCUGGUGUAAAGUGAAAGUGCAGGGCCCCUUGUUCAAAAAGGCAGAAAAAAGUGUCC